rnacentral:rRNA from 1 species
AGUGAACGCUGGCGGUAGGCCUAACACAUGCAAGUCGAACGGCAGCACAGUAAGAGCUUGCUCUUACGGGUGGCGAGUGGCGGACGGGUGAGGAAUACAUCGGAAUCUACUUUUUCGUGGGGGAUAACGUAGGGAAACUUACGCUAAUACCGCAUACGACCUACGGUUGCAUGCAGGGGAUCUUCGGACCUUGCGCGAUUGAAUGAGCCGAUGUCGGAUUAGCUAGUUGGCGGGGUAAAGGCCCACCAAGGCGACGAUCCGUAGCUGGUCUGAGAGGAUGAUCAGCCACACUGGAACUGAGACACGGUCCAGACUCCUACGGGAGGCAGCAGUGGGGAAUAUUGGACAAUGGGCGCAAGCCUGAUCCAGCCAUACCGCGUGGGUGAAGAAGGCCUUCGGGUUGUAAAGCCCUUUUGUUGGGAAAGAAAAGCAGCAGGUUAAUACCCCGCUGUUCUGACGGUACCCAAAGAAUAAGCACCGGCUAACUUCGUG